ensembl:Y_RNA Y_RNA Y RNA
GACUUGGUCCAAAGGUACUGAGUUCUCCCAAUUGACUGUUCAGUUUUAGAGCCAACUCCUUGUUGUACUUUGUCUGUUCUCACUACUGCACUUGACUAGUCUUUA